rnacentral:rRNA from 1 species
UACGUAGGGUGCAGGCGUUAAUCGGAAUUACUGGGCGUAAAGCGUGCGCAGGCGGUCUUUUAAGUCAGAUGUGAAAUCCCCGGGCUUAACCUGGGAACUGCGUUUGAAACUGGAAGGCUUGAGUUGUGGCAGAGGGGGGGUGGAAUUCCGACGUGUAGCAGUGAAAUGCGUAGAGAUGAUGGAGGAACACCGAUGGCGAAGGCAGCCCCCUGGGCUAACACUGACGCUCAUGCACGAAAGCGUGGGGAGCAAACAGG